AUUAGGUUUUGUAUAUGUAGGAUUGUAUUUUUAUUUAAACCUUAAAAAAUUCCAUGAAAGGAAAUUGAGAGACAUAAUUGAAAAUUGACUGAAAAUAAAUCUGAACAAAGAGAUAAAAUUGGGUAGGAAGUGAAAUGUUACCUGAUUCAUCUCCAAGCUUUGUCCCCAAUUGCUUGAUCUAGUAGUCUCUUUUGUUGUGAUUAAGUCCACAGUCUUCACCCAUUUUUCAUCGUGUGCUUUGUUACAGCUUUCAGGGCAUGCAUCUGGAGUUGCUCUCUGCUAGGCUCCAAGUUUCUAUUCAUAGCAGAUGGUGAAAAUGGUUUAGAUGAAAAGGUAUCAACAACACAAUUUCCUGAGAUGGGAGGUGGCUGAGGUGAGGAGUGUGGGAACAAUUUGGCUGUAGGCUUGCUAUGGUGUCCUGUAACUGCUCUUUCAGUAUUCUGCAGUGAUUGCAGAAACCUUUGGAGAGCUACUCAAAUAACAGUUUAACUUUGAUGACUUCAUGUUUCCCUGCAUUAACUGGUAUGUGGUCCCAAAGCGUUUGAUUUACAUUGAUCUCAACAAGGGCUCUAGGACAUGAUAGAUUUUGCUCACUUCUUGAGGGUUUUUCUACCACGAGACAAGUAGCCAUAGAGCUUGAUAGAUUAUAUGGAAUCUGUCCACAAGAGAGCUCAGGAGGAAGAUCCAUAAGUCUAGCCCAUAUAGUUAUGAUAUCCAUGUUGAUUGAAGCAGGUACUACUCCAUACAAAUAUUCUUGGACCACUAGCAGAAAAGGGCCAAGACUCCAGAUGUUUAUGGAGUGAGCAUAUUGAACAUCACUCCUUGAUUGCAGCUUAAACAAAAAAAUGCUAUUUUCUUUCCAUCUGAACACCAAUGUACUUUAUGAGCAUAAUCUAGUUGCCAAACUUGUUGUACAAUCUCAAUUGCUUUUUCUUUCUUUAGUUUGAACUCACAGUU